GCGCGAAAACUUUACAAUGCUGGCAACAGCGAUAAGGGAACCUCGAGUGCCAGGUUACAAAUCUGGCUGUCGAGAUGCCUAAAAAGCAUUUCAUAGCAAGGGCCGGGCAAGACCGGUGCCAGCCGCCGCGGUAACACCGGCGGCUCGAGUGGUAACCGUUAUUAUUGGGUCUAAAGGGUCUGUAGCCGGCCGGAUAAGUCUCUUGAGAAAUCUGGCAGCUUAACUGUCAGGCUUUCAGGAGAUACUGUCUGGCUCGAGGCCGGGAGAGGUGAGAGGUACUUCAGGGGUAGGGGUGAAAUCUUGUAAUGCUUGAAGGAACACUAGUGGCGGAGGCGUCUCACCAGAACGGUCCUGACGGCAAGGGACGAAAGCUAGGGGCACGAACCG
rnacentral:rRNA from 1 species